rnacentral:tRNA from 3 species
GCGCGUGUAGCUCAACGGCAGAGCACGGAGCUUAUAUCUCCGCGGUUCCUGGUUCGAAUCCAGGCACGCGCACCG